AAUAACUCAUCAUUAAUCAUGCUAUCAUACUCAAGCUCAUAACUCAUACAAACAAGUACUUAAAGCAAUUGCUAAUUCUCUCAAGCUUUAGCUCUAAGUUCUCAUUUCAUCCUUCUACUUAGUAAAAAAAAAAUCUCUCUUAACAAUGACAUUAGAUUCCUUCAUCUAAAUCAUCGUGACUUAUCACAACUGCUCAAAUAAUUCUCAUCAUAAAAC
rnacentral:lncRNA from 1 species